rnacentral:ncRNA from 1 species
CUUAUCCAGAGCGGCGGAGGGAAUAGGCCCUGUGAAGCCCGGCAACCGGAGUCAAAUCCGGUGCUAAAUCCUACGACAGCGAUGUCGGCAGAUGAG